rnacentral:rRNA from 1 species
AGAGUUUGAUCCUGGCUCAGAACGAACGCUGGCGGCAGGCUUAACACAUGCAAGUCGAACGCACCGCAAGGUGAGUGGCAGACGGGUGAGUAACGCGUGGGAACCUUCCCUUUGGUACGGAAUAACUUCGGGAAACCGAAGCUAAUACCGUAUAAGUCCUUCGGGAGAAAGAUUUAUCGCCAAAGGAUGGGCCCGCGUUGGAUUAGCUAGUUGGUAGGGUAAAGGCCUACCAAGGCUACGAUCCAUAGCUGGUCUGAGAGGAUGAUCAGCCACACUGGGACUGAGACACGGCCCAGACUCCUACGGGAGGCAGCAGUGGGGAAUAUUGGACAAUGGGGGCAACCCUGAUCCAGCCAUGCCGCGUGAGUGAAGAAGGCCUUAGGGUUGUAAAGCUCUUUUGGCGGGGACGAUAAUGACGGUACCCGCAGAAUAAGCCCCGGCUAACUUCGUGCCAGCAGCCGCGGUAAUACGAAGGGGGCUAGCGUUGUUCGGAAUCACUGGGCGUAAAGCGCACGCAGGCGGAUUGAUAAGUCAGGGGUGAAAUCCCGGAGCUCAACUUCGGAAUUGCCUUUGAUACUGUCUAUCUUCGAGUUCGGGAGAGGUUGGCGGAAUUCCUAGUGUAGAGGUGAAAUUCGUAGAUAUUAGGAAGAACACCAGUGGCGAAGGCGGCCAACUGGCCCGAUACUGACGCUCAUGUGCGAAAGCGUGGGGAGCAAACAGGAUUAGAUACCCUAGUAGUCC